UGACAACAUAUAUGUGAGCAGCAGGGGCAUUUCUCUUUUAGCACCAACUAGGAACCUGGAGCAUCCAGCUCUCCAGUCAGAAAUCUGGCUCCGACAUCAGUUGUAAAAAGAUGCUGCGAAAGUACUAAACCAAAACAUGAAUCCAGAAGAUCUGAAGAAUUAAUAUGCUCCAAGAAUAACGGGAAGGUAUUUGAAGUUGCCUCAGAGGCAAAGGCGGAAAUCUUCCGAUAAUUCUGCCGCCACGACUUGAACCGUGCGCGAGGCGAGCUCGAAACAAACAUCACAUCUAAAUUAAAAAAAAAAAAAAAA